AAGGUUUAUUUCGUACUACCAUUCCCACGAGUGUCUUUGGAAUGUGUCUAGUUCGUUUUAUUCAAAACGGGAACACAGACAGGCCGCCUACGUUUCCAUUUCCGAACUGAUGAACGGUGUUAUGACAGCGGAUCAGGUCCCAGUUAAGAUUUCUGCUCUGCGGACCUACUAUUGCAAGGAACUAAGGAAGGAAACCCUCUCCCGGAAAAGUGGGGCUGGUCGAGAUGAUAUCUAUGAGUCUACCUGGGAAUGGUUUAAGCUGUUGGAUCCUUUUCUUAGAAGCCAGGUUCAUCAAAAAAACAACUAUAAGUAACUUGGAAACCAACACACUGUCAACUGAGCAGGAUGGACCCAGUCAAGUGGAACAAGUGGUUCAAGAGGAGGAAAAUGUGGAACCAGACAAUGUGCAGGCUGAAACCAUGGAUUGUACUCCACCACCUCCAUCUAAAAGAAAGCGACAGGACAGUGUUCCCCUCCAAGUUUUGGCUACUCUUAAGUCAAUUGAAAACAGAAGAUCACAAAGUGAAAAUAAUGGAGAACUAUGUUUUGCCAAAUAUUUGGCAUCAGAGAUUGCCCGAAUUUCCAAUCUAAGUAAAAGGAAUGAAUUGAAAAUUAAAGUUCAACAACUUAUUUUUGAAUAUCAAAAUGAAGAAUAAGAUUUUAUAUGUAUUAUGCACAUGCCAUCUGUCCUUAAUGAUGACUCA
rnacentral:lncRNA from 1 species